rnacentral:miRNA from 1 species
GAGGUGGGAGGAUUGCUUGAGCCCAGGAGAUUGAGGCUGCAGUGAGCUGUGAUUGUGCCACUGCACUCCAGCCUGAGUGACAGAGCAAAACCCUAUCUCA